rnacentral:tRNA from 1 species
GUUGUCGUCGCCGAGGGGUUAAGGCGAUGGACUAGAAAACUUUUGGGAUCUUCCCGCGCAGGUUCGAAUCCUGCCGACAUCG